rnacentral:rRNA from 1 species
GAUGAACGCUGGCGGCGUGCCUAAUACAUGCAAGUCGAGCGAACAGACGAGGAGCUUGCUCCUCUGACGUUAGCGGCGGACGGGUGAGUAACACGUGGAUAACCUACCUAUAAGACUGGGAUAACUUCGGGAAACCGGAGCUAAUACCGGAUAAUAUAUUGAACCGCAUGGUUCAAUAGUGAAAGACGGUUUUGCUGUCACUUAUAGAUGGAUCCGCGCCGCAUUAGCUAGUUGGUAAGGUAACGGCUUACCAAGGCAACGAUGCGUAGCCGACCUGAGAGGGUGAUCGGCCACACGGGAACUGAGACACGGUCCAGACCCCUACGGGAGGCAGCAGUAGGGAAUCUUCCGCAAUGGGCGAAAGCCUGACGGAGCAACGCCGCGUGAGUGAUGAAGGUCUUCGGAUCGUAAAACUCUGUUAUUAGGGAAGAACAAAUGUGUAAGUAACUAUGCACGUCUUGACGGUACCUAAUCAGAAAGCCACGGCUAACUACGUG